AUAAUAAUUAUAAUUAUAAUUAUAAUAAUAAUAAUAAUAUUAACAAGCUACAUGAAUUAUAAAAUCAUAAUCAUGUUUUUGAGAAAAAUCUGCUUAUAUUUUAACGUUCAAUGAAAUUUUUCUGAUUUCAUACUUAAGGAUUAGACGAUCAAUUUUGAUAUUUAUCGAUCAUUAUAAUAAUUCAACUUCGACGAUCAGAGGUCCGAGAAACUGCGUAUCACCUUACAAAAAAGUUAAUACAAAUUCAAACGAAGUAUGUAUGUACAUUGUAUGUGAAACAUAUAAAUGGUGGUUUAAUAUUACAUUACAUAUAUAAUAUUUUCUUACUGAUAAAAGAGACGAGAGGACAGAAUUAUUCGACAAGUUUAGUUACUCGGUCCCACAUCCACUUUUCUUUCCCUUCGAUUUCGUUUAUAUUCAUCGAUCUAAAAGGAAAGAAUCAAAGGACCAUCGAACGAUGUAUUUACAUAUCAAGAAAUGAUAUUUUCUCUCCUUAUUAUUAUUAUUUGUUAAAUUUCGAAGAAUAACAUUUAGUGUAUGUCAUAUUCAAACAUUUAGUAUAUAUCAAUUCCUUUCUUAAUUUUGAAAUUUUAUUUAUUUUUUAAAUGAAUGGUUGAUAAAUAAAAUAAUGCAGAAAUACAUAAAGAAAAC